AGAGCGAACGCUGGCGGCAGGCUUAACACAUGCAAGUCGAGCGGGCGUAGCAAUACGUCAGCGGCAGACGGGUGAGUAACGCGUGGGAACGUACCUUUGGUUCGGAACAACCCAGGGAAACUUGGGCUAAUACCGGAUAAGCCCUUACGGGGAAAGAUUUAUCGCCGAAAGAUCGGCCCGCGUCUGAUUAGCUAGUUGGUGAGGUAAUGGCUCACCAAGGCGACGAUCAGUAGCUGGUCUGAGAGGAUGAUCAGCCACAUUGGGACUGAGACACGGCCCAAACUCCUACGGGAGGCAGCAGUGGGGAAUAUUGGACAAUGGGCGCAAGCCUGAUCCAGCCAUGCCGCGUGAGUGAUGAAGGCCCUAGGGUUGUAAAGCUCUUUUGUGCGGGAAGAUAAUGACGGUACCGCAAGAAUAAGCCCGGCUAACUUCGCGCCAGCAGCCGC
rnacentral:rRNA from 1 species